UACGUAGGGUGCAAGCGUUAAUCGGAAUUACUGGGCGUAAAGCGUGCGCAGGCGGUUCGCUAAGACCGAUGUGAAAUCCCCGGGCUUAACCCUGGGAACUGCAUUGGUGACUGGCGGGCUAGAGUAUGGCAGAGGGGGGGUAGAAUUCCACGUGUAGCAGUGAAAUGCGUAGAGAUGUGGAGGAAUACCGAUGGCGAAGGCAGCCCCCUGGGCCAAUACUGACGCUCAUGCACGAAAGCGUGGGGAGCAAACAGG
rnacentral:rRNA from 1 species